UACAGAGGUCUCAAGCGUUGUUCGGAUUCAUUGGGCGUAAAGGGUGUGUAGGUGGCGCGCUAAGUCGGGUGUGAAAUUUCGGAGCUUAACUCCGAAACUGCACUUGAUACUGCGGUGCUCGAGUACUGGAGAGGAGAUUGGAAUUUACGGUGUAGCAGUGAAAUGCGUAGAUAUCGUAAGGAACAUCAGUGGCGAAAGCGGCUUCCUGGUCCAGCACCGACGUUCAGGCACGAAAGCGUGGGGAGCAAACAGG
rnacentral:rRNA from 1 species